rnacentral:sRNA from 1 species
GUCGACUUGGGCUUCUUGUCUGCUGUCGCCGUCGCUGCCACCACCGUCGUCGUCGUCGUCGUCGCUGUCUUGGCCCGAACGAACCGGCCUACGCUGCCUUUGGCUUGGACACACACGUUCUCGGCCCAGCAAUCGCCGCUGUUGCACGUCGUUCCACCUUGCUGUACAUUUUGCCGUCGCGACCAUCACUACGACUCCGAAUACGACACCCAGAGAUCUAGAUCCAGAGAUCCAGAUCCACGCCGCGUGCACGUGUGAUUCGCCUUCGCACCCCCCACCCAAAACGAAUCGGAUUGUUAUUGAUCAGAUGAGAUAUACAUAAAUAUAGGCCCAUAUCUAGACUCCAAAUCGGACCACGAAUCUGUCAAGACUUUUCGUUUUGUUUUGUUUUUUUUCGGUGGUUAGAAAAACCACACAAUAAACCGACUGCACCUUUAGCUACGAAAAAUUACCAAGUGCUCCCAAAUACAACGCCAAGUGUCCGUGCCCGUGCCCGUGCCCGUGCCCGUGCUCCCAAGUGAAACUACAGUACGCGUAUCUCCAACAGGAAGAUACACAUGUGUAUACGCUGCACUGGAGAUACAUAUCUCUCUGCACAAGAGACCAGAUAAAGCAAGUUUCAAAAUUCUGUUUGUAUAAUGAAAAACCAAGAAAACCAUAAAAAAAACAAGUGACAAAAAGAAAAGUUAACAAAAAGAGAAACUGAAAAACAAAAUACAAAAACCGAAUAGAAAACCCAAAAAAAAUUAAGAGGAAAAAAGCGAGAGUGCAGAACAAGGAUUAAAUGGUGUGUGUUGUACAUAUAUUGAUGUGAGUGACUGUGUGUGUCUAAAAGCAAAAGCGAAU